rnacentral:rRNA from 1 species
UACGAAGGGGGCUAGCGUUGCUCGGAAUUACUGGGCGUAAAGGGCGCGUAGGCGGAUACUUAAGUCGGGGGUGAAAGCCCAGGGCUCAACCCUGGAAUAGCCUUCGAUACUGGGUAUCUUGAGUUCGGGAGAGGUGAGUGGAACUCCGAGUGUAGAGGUGAAAUUCGUAGAUAUUCGGAAGAACACCAGUGGCGAAGGCGACUCACUGGCCCGAUACUGACGCUGAGGCGCGAAAGCUAGGGGAGCAAACAGG